rnacentral:rRNA from 1 species
UACGUAGGGGGCAAGCGUUGUCCGGAAUCAUUGGGCGUAAAGAGCGUGUAGGCGGCCCGGUAAGUCCGCUGUAAAAGUCAAAGGCUCAACCUUUGAAUGUCAGUGGAUACUGCCGGGCUAGAGUCCGGAAGAGGCGAGUGGAACUCCUGGUGUAGCGGUGGAAUGCGCAGAUAUCGUUUGGAACGCCAAUGGUGAAAACAGGUUGCUGGGAGUGCGCUGACGCUGAGACACGAAAGCCAGGGGAGCGAACGGG